UAAUAAGUAAGCUAAUAAAAAGCUAAUGGGUUCAUACCUCAUAAAUGGAAAAUGAUAGC
rnacentral:tRNA from 2 species